rnacentral:rRNA from 1 species
GACGAACGCUGGCGGCGUGCUUAACACAUGCAAGUCGAACGGAAAGGCCCUGCUUUUGUGGGGUGCUCGAGUGGCGAACGGGUGAGUAACACGUGAGUAACCUGCCCUUGACUUUGGGAUAACUUCAGGAAACUGGGGCUCAUAUCGGAUAGGAGCUCCUGCUGCAUGGUGGGGGUUGGAAAGUUUCGGCGGUUGGGGAUGGACUCGCGGCUUAUCAGCUUGUUGGUGGGGUAGUGGCGUACCAAGGCUUUGACGGGUAGCCGGCCUGAGAGGGUGACCGGCCACAUUGGGACUGCGGUACGGCCCAGUCGCCUACGGGAGGCAGCAGGCGAGAAUAUUGCAGAAUGGGCGGGAGCCUGAUGCAGCGACGCCGCGUGCGUGAUGACGGGCUUCGGGUUGUAAACCGCUUUCGCCUGUGACGAGGCGUGAGUGACGGUAAUGGGUAAAGAAGCACCGGCUAACUACGUG